GAUGAACGCUGGCGGCGUGCCUAAUACAUGCAAGUCGAGCGAACGGACGAGAAGCUUGCUUCUCUGAUGUUAGCGGCGGACGGGUGAGUAACACGUGGAUAACCUACCUAUAAGACUGGGAUAACUUCGGGAAACCGGAGCUAAUACCGGAUGAUAUUUUGAACCGCAUGGUUCAAAAGUGAAAGACGGUCUUGCUGUCACUUAUAGAUGGAUCCGCGCUGCAUUAGCUAGUUGGUAAGGUAACGGCUUACCAAGGCAACGAUGCAUAGCCGACCUGAGAGGGUGAUCGGCCACACUGGAACUGAGACACGGUCCAGACUCCUACGGGAGGCAGCAGUAGGGAAUCUUCCGCAAUGGGCGAAAGCCUGACGGAGCAACGCCGCGUGAGUGAUGAAGGUCCUCGGAUCGUAAAACUCUGUUAUUAGGGAAGAACACAUGUGUAAGUAACUGUGCACAUCUUGACGGUACCUAAUCAGAAAGCCACGGCUAACUACGUG
rnacentral:rRNA from 1 species